GAUGAACGCUAGCGGCAGGCUUAAUACAUGCAAGUCGAGGGGCAGCACAGGUAGCAAUACUGGGUGGCGACCGGCAAACGGGUGCGGAACACGUACACAACUUACCUUCUGGUGGGGGAUAGCCUUUGGAAACGGAGAUUAAUACCCCAUAUUAUAUAUGAGCUGCAUGGUUUGUAUAUUAAAGAUUUAUUGCCGGAAGAUGGGUGUGCGUAUGAUUAGGUAGUUGGCGGGGUAACGGCCCACCAAGCCGACGAUCAUGAACUGGUGUGAGGUCACGACCAGUCACACGGGCACGGAGCCACGUGCCCGACUCCUACAGGAGGCAGCAGUAAGUAAUAUUGGUCAAUGGACGGAAGUCUGAACCAGCCAUGCCGCGUGGAGGAUGAAGGUCCUCUGGAUUGUAAACUUCUUUUAUAGGGGGCGAAAAAAGGGAAUUCUUUCUCGUCUGACGGUACCCUAUGAAUAAGCACCGGCUAACUCCGUGCCAGCCGCCGCCGUAAGAC
rnacentral:rRNA from 1 species